rnacentral:rRNA from 1 species
UACGUAGGUGGCGAGCGUUGUCCGGAUUUACUGGGCGUAAAGGGCGUGCAGGCGGUUUGUUAAGUCUAGGGUGAAAGCUCCCGGCUCAACUGGGAGAGGUCCUUGGAUACUGACAGACUUGAGGGAGGCAGAGGAGAAUGGAAUUCCCGGUGUAGUGGUGAUAUGCGUAGAUAUCGGGAGGAACACCAGUGGCGAAGGCGGUUCUCUGGGCCUUACCUGACGCUGAGACGCGAAAGCGUGGGGAGCGAACCGG